rnacentral:rRNA from 1 species
CCUACGGGCGGCAGCAGUAGGGAAUCUUCGGCAAUGGGGGCAACCCUGACCGAGCAAUGCCGCGUGAGUGAAGAAGGUUUUCGGAUCGUAAAGCUCUGUUGUAAGAGAAGAACGUGUGUGAGAGUGGAAAGUUCACACAGUGACGGUAACUUACCAGAAAGGGACGGCUAACUACGUGCCAGCAGCCGCGGUAAUACGUAGGUCCCGAGCGUUAUCCGGAUUUAUUGGGCGUAAAGCGAGCGCAGGCGGUUGGAUAAGUCUGAAGUUAAAGGCUGUGGCUAAACCAUAGUAUGCCUUGGAAACGGUUAGACGUGAAUGAAGAAGGGGAGAGUGGAAUUCCAUGUGUAGCGGUGGAAUGCGUAGAUAUAUGGAAGAACACCGGUGGCGAAAGCGACUCUCUGGUCUGUAACUGACGCUGAGGCUCGAAAGCGUGGGUAGCGAACAGGAUUAGAUACCCGAGUAGUC